rnacentral:rRNA from 1 species
GCUCGUGUCGUGAGAUGUUGGGUUAAGUCCCGCAACGAGCGCAACCCUUGUCGUUAGUUACUACCAUUAAGUUGAGGACUCUAGCGAGACUGCCUGGGUUAACCAGGAGGAAGGUGGGGAUGACGUCAAAUCAUCAUGCCCCUUAUGUGUAGGGCUACACACGUGCUACAAUGGCUGGUACAGAGAGAUGCAAUACCGCGAGGUGGAGCCAAGGGACUUAAAAACCAGUCUCAGUUCGGAUUGUAGGCUGAAACUCGCCUACAUGAAGCUGGAGUUACUAGUAAUCGCGAAUCAGAAUGUCGCGGUGAAUACGUUCCCGG